GUGGGGGAUAUUGCACAAUGGAGGAAACUCUGAUGCAGCGACGCCGCGUGAGUGAAGAAGUAUUUCGGUAUGUAAAGCUCUAUCAGCAGGGAAGAUAAUGACAGUACCUGACUAAGAAGCCCCGGCUAACUACGUGCCAGCAGCCGCGGUAAUACGUAGGGGGCAAGCGUUAUCCGGAUUUACUGGGUGUAAAGGGAGCGUAGACGGAAUGGCAAGUCUGAAGUGAAAUCCUGCGGCUUAACUGCAGAAUUGCUUUGGAAACUGUCAAUCUGGAGUGUUGGAGAGGUAAGCGGAAUUCCUGGUGUAGCGGUGAAAUGCGUAGAUAUCAGGAAGAACACCGGAGGCGAAGGCGGCUUCCUGGACAAUAACUGACGUUGAGGCUCGAAAGCGUGGGAAGCAAACAGGAUUAGAUACCCCUGUAGUCC
rnacentral:rRNA from 1 species